GUCAAUACAGAUGUACUGGCACGCAAGGUAAUCCAAAAUAAAACUUUAAUAUAAGUGAAAUAGUGGAGAGCAAUUUAUUAAAACAUCAUGCAUAAACAGUUCUCAAAACACAUGGGCAUUUUCUGAAAAAUCAUAAGUCAUUCUUGUCAAUGUACUGUAUGUUCGUUGUAUUACUUCUGAGUUAGGUGGUAUGCCCCUACAAUUCUAAAAUCCCACGGG
rnacentral:lncRNA from 1 species